rnacentral:rRNA from 1 species
CUGGCUCAGGAUGAACGCUAGCUACAGGCUUAACACAUGCAAGUCGAGGGGCAGCAUUGGAGUAGCAAUACUCAGAUGGCGACCGGCGCACGGGUGAGUAACACGUAUCCAACCUGCCGCUUACUCGGGGAUAGCCUUUCGAAAGAAAGAUUAAUACCCGAUGGUAUAAAGAGUUCGCAUGUUCUCUUUAUUAAAGAAUUUCGGUAAGCGAUGGGGAUGCGUUCCAUUAGAUUGUUGGCGGGGUAACGGCCCACCAAGUCUACGAUGGAUAGGGGUUCUGAGAGGAAGGUCCCCCACAUUGGAACUGAGACACGGUCCAAACUCCUACGGGAGGCAGCAGUGAGGAAUAUUGGUCAAUGGACGAGAGUCUGAACCAGCCAAGUAGCGUGAAGGAUGACUGCCCUAUGGGUUGUAAACUUCUUUUAUAAGGGAAUAAAGUGAGGGACGUGUCCCUUUUUGUAUGUACCUUAUGAAUAAGGAUCGGCUAACUCCGUGCCAGCAGCAGC